ACGUAGGGGGCAAGCGUUAUCCGGAUUUACUGGGUGUAAAGGGAGCGUAGACGGCGAUGCAAGCCAGAUGUGAAAGCCCGGGGCUCAACCCCGGGACUGCAUUUGGAACUGCGUGGCUGGAGUGUCGGAGAGGCAGGCGGAAUUCCUAGUGUAGCGGUGAAAUGCGUAGAUAUUAGGAGGAACACCAGUGGCGAAGGCGGCCUGCUGGACGAUGACUGACGUUGAGGCUCGAAAGCGUGGGGAGCAAACAG
rnacentral:rRNA from 1 species